UAUUGAGUGUACUGAUCAAAACACGGUA
rnacentral:sRNA from 1 species